AUGGCUCCCGCAAAGAAAGGUGGUGAGAAGAAAAAGGGCCAUUCUGCCAUCAAUGCGGUGGUGACCUGAGAAUACACCAUCAACAUUCACAAGUGCAUCCAUGGAGUGGGCUUCAAGAAGCGUGCCCCUCAGGCACUCAAAGAGAUUCGGAAAUUUUCCAUGAAGGAGAUGGGAACUCCAGAUAUGUGCAUUGAUACCAGGCUCAACAAAGCUGUCUGGGCCAAAGGAAUAAGGGAUGUCCCAUAUUGUAUCCAUGUGUGCUUGUCCAGAAAAUGUAAUGAGGAUAAAGAUUCACCAAAUAAGCUCUAUCCUUUGGCUACUUAUGUACCUGUUACCACUUUCAAAAGUCUACAGACAGUCGAUGUGGAUGAGAACUAA
rnacentral:lncRNA from 1 species